CUUUAGUCUAAUUCCAGGCUUUCGUAGAACAUGUUGUUCUCUGAUUCCUUGUGCUGUUGAUGCCUAUCUACUCUUCUGACAGCUCUGUUCCUCCAGCCUCUGUCUUGUUUCCUUGUGGCUUGAAGUUACUCAGGACUAACAUUGCUCCAGGCACCAUUUACAUAACCGUCUACAAACCAGAAAAAAGGGAAGAGCAGCUGGGUGAUUCCCAUGUGGUGCUUCUGAAUAGUAAUGCACAUUUUCUGAAUGCAAAUGUAACACUUAAUAGUGUUUCUGAAGAAAAACUGUAAUUCCUCAAAUAGUGGUUGUGUAUUUUGUAACCAUAUUAUGUAUUAAAAUGUUUGAAUUGAAGAUAAAAGGCUUAUUUAGGUCUUUUGCCCCAAGAGCUGGAUGUGAUUCCUUCUAACCUUAUAUCCUACCAUAAUCUGUAGGGUUUUAGCUGAAGGAUCAGUCUAAAUGUAAGAAAAUUCUGUCCCUUUUGUAGUGGCCAGGUAGCUAAUGUUAUGCAAGUUCCCCAAAAUAAUUCAGGAGCAUAAAUAUAAAACUGAACUGCUGAUCAUUGUCAUAAAGUUGGUGACUUCAGUUUCUGACAUUUUUUCCUUGCUCAAGAUCAAGACACGUCUUCAAUAGCUAGGUCAUCACCAGAAGGUCUGACCAAAAAAACUAAGCCCUUUAUAUUAUCAUCUUAGAAUACGAUGGAGCGCUUUUGUGUUUCAGAUGAGUUUGGAGCUUUGGAAAGUGUGAAAGCUGCUAGUGAACUCUCCUCUCCUCUCUCAGGAGAAGUGACUGAGAUUAACGAUGCCCUUGCAGAUAGUCCAGGGCUUGUCAAUAAAUCUUGUUAUCGAGAUUUGCAGGUUGGCUUAUCAAGAUGACUGUGGAAAACCCUGCUGAACUUGAUGAACUGAUGAAUGAAGAUGCCGAUGAGAAAUACAUAAAAUCCAUUGAGGACUGAGCUGGAAUAAUGAAAUUAAUCCAUAUAAAAUA